rnacentral:rRNA from 1 species
UACGUAGGGCAGCAAGCGUUAUUCCGGAAUUAUUGGGGCGUAAAAGAGCUCGUAGGCGGUUUGUCGCGUCUGCCGUGAAAGUCCGGGGCUCAACUCCGGAUCUGCGGUGGGUACGGGCAGACUAGAGUGAUGUAGGGGAGACUGGAAUUCCUGGUGUAGCGGUGAAAUGCGCAGAUAUCAGGAGGAACACCGAGUGGCGAAGGCAGGUCUCUGGGCAUUAAACUGACGCUGGAGGAAGGCGAAAGCCAUGGGGGAGCGAACAGGA